AUACGUAGGGUGCAAGCGUUAAUCGGAAUUACUGGGCGUAAAGCGUGCGCAGGCGGUUUUGUAAGACAGUGGUGAAAUCCCCGGGCUCAACCUGGGAACUGCCAUUGUGACUGCAAGGCUGGAGUGCGGCAGAGGGGGAUGGAAUUCCGCGUGUAGCAGUGAAAUGCGUAGAUAUGCGGAGGAACACCGAUGGCGAAGGCAAUCCCCUGGGCCUGCACUGACGCUCAUGCACGAAAGCGUGGGGAGCAAACAGGAUUAGAUACCCGGGUAGUCCACGCCCUAAACGAUGUCAACUGGUUGUUGGGGAGUUAUUUUCUCAGUAACGAAGCUAACGCGUGAAGUUGACCGCCUGGGGAGUACGGCCGCAAGGUUAAAACUCAAAUGAAUUGACGGGG
rnacentral:rRNA from 1 species